CGGAAUCUGCCUAUUUGUGGGGGAUAACGUAGGGAAACUUACGCUAAUACCGCAUACGACCUACGGGUGAAAGCGGAGGACCUUCGGGCUUCGCGCAGAUAGAUGAGCCGAUGUCGGAUUAGCUAGUUGGCGGGGUAAAGGCCCACCAAGGCGACGAUCCGUAGCUGGUCUGAGAGGAUGAUCAGCCACACUGGAACUGAGACACGGUCCAGACUCCUACGGGAGGCAGCAGUGGGGAAUAUUGGACAAUGGGCGCAAGCCUGAUCCAGCCAUGCCGCGUGGGUGAAGAAGGCCUUCGGGUUGUAAAGCCCUUUUGUUGGGAAAGAAAAGCAGUCGGUUAAUACCCGAUUGUUCUGACGGUACCCAAAGAAUAAGCACCGGCUAACUUCGUGCCAGCAGCCGCGGUAAUACGAAGGGUGCAAGCGUUACUCGGAAUUACUGGGCGUAAAGCGUGCGUAGGUGGUUUGUUAAGUCUGAUGUGGAAGCCCUGGGCUCAACCUGGGAAUUGCAUUGGAUACUGGCAGGCUAGAGUGCGGUAGAGGGUAGUGGAAUUCCCGGU
rnacentral:rRNA from 1 species